UCAUACCAGCACUAAUGCACCGGAUCCCAUCAGAACUCCGCAGUUAAGCGUGCUUGGGCGAGAGUAGUACUAGGAUGGGUGACCUCCUGGGAAGUCCGUGUGUUGCACCUC
rnacentral:rRNA from 1 species